rnacentral:rRNA from 1 species
GAUGAACGCUGGCGGCGUGCCUAAUACAUGCAAGUCGAGCGAACGGACGAGAAGCUUGCUUCUCUGAUGUUAGCGGCGGACGGGUGAGUAACACGUGGAUAACCUACUUCUAAGACUGGGAUAACUUCGGGAAACCGGAGCUAAUACCGGAUAAUAUUUUGAACCGCAUGGUUCAAAAGUGAAAGACGGUCUUGCUGUCACUUAUAGAUGGUUCCGCGCUGCAUUAGCUAGUUGGUAAGGUAACGGCUUACCAAGGCAACGAUGCAUAGCCGACCUGAGAGGGUGAGCUGCCACACUGGAACUGAGACACGGGCCAGAGACCUACGGGAGGCAGCAGUAGGGAAUCUACCGCAAUGGGCGAAAACCUGACGGAGCGACACCGCGUGAGUGAGGAAGAUCUUCGGAUCGUAUAACGCUGUUAUGAGGGAAGAACAAAUGUGUAAGUAAAUGCGCACAUCUUGACAGUACAUAAACAGAAUGCCAAGGCUAAAUACGUG